AAGCUCUAGGAACAUGGGGAAUGGCUGGCCAGAGCUGACCAGCAGCUGACCCACUGAGGCAGGGUCUGUCUCCAGUUUGCCAUGGUCCUACGGGACCUGCUUUUCUUAUAUAUGUUACCUACCUGCUCCCUGGAAACAUCUGGGCUCUCCACCCCUGCUUUGGGAUUUUGAACGCUUUACAGUCUACCAUGUGGGUUGCUCUUUUUGUUAAAAAUAUAUUGGCCACAGAGCAGACUAUGCUGGUAUGACGCAAAGACCCAUGAAGCCAGGAGUCCAACCUAUCAGGCAUUUACUCCUCUCUUGGUUAAUAGGCCAGCGUAGACGGGUGGUUCAUGGCGGGUAUGUGGCUCCACUCCAGUCAUCCAGUUACCCAGGUUCCUUCCAUAUUGUUGCUCUGCAUGAUCAGAGUGGCUCCCCAGCUGCAGGAAGAGGGAAAGCCAGAGGGAGGAGAGCAAACAGGCAUCCGUGCGUGGGCAAGACAGGAAGUUGUGUCAUCACCUUGGCUCACAUCCCAUUGGCUAGAAUUCAGUCAUGUGGCCGUACCUAGCUGCAAGGAAAGCUGGGAAAUGUAGUCUCCAGCUUGGCCACCCAGUGCCUAGAGGAAACUCAAAGUUGUGUUACUGAAAGGCAGGGCGAAUAUAUGGCAGGCAGCCUCUGUGUUCUUCAUGAAGUGUAGGCUCCCCCACUCCCAGAGACUGGGGCAUUUCUCGGCUGCUUGACCGGGGCGAGGGGAGGGCUCAAUUUAACCAUGUAUUAUUUGGUUAGUUUUAGAUUGGCUAGUGCAGCCGAAACCUCGAUGGCUUGGUGGCAACGGCUGGCUUCUGGAUGGCCCUGAGGAGGUGUUGCAAGCCGAGGCCUGCAGCACCACAGAGGAUGGGGCGGAACCCCUCCUCUGCCCCUCGGGCUACGAGUGUCACAUCCUGAGCCCUGGGGACGUAGCCGAGGGCAUCCCCAACCGCGGGCAGUGUGUCAAGCAGCGCCAGCAGGCAGAUGGGCGGUUCCUCCAACACAAAUUUUACAAAGAAUACCCAGAGGGUGAUUCCAAGAAUGUGGCGGAGCCUGGGAAAGGGCCCCAGAGGCACUUUCAAUAAGUCUGCGGGCCGCCAAUGGUGAGAACAUGCCUCCAGUUUUCUGCUAAGUCUUGGAAACAGUUGGAUAAAACAGGAUUUGACCCCCGGAGGUCAUGCCCAGCUUGACAGAGCAUGACCCCAAAACUACUUAGAGGCAAGACAGCUGGCUCUCAAUGCCAGCAUGAUGCAACUGGCUGGGUGACUUUGUGGGAGCCCCUUGCCAACCCCGGGUCCCCGUCUUAUCGUCCUGAAGGUACAGCACACCUAGCAGUCCCACUUGACCUGACGGCCCCACAGACCCCACCUUGGGAGGAGGUCACUGGCUUGGUGAGCUGUACGACGCCCCUUUCUCAGAGAGAGUUCAACCUCUUGUUUACUACACAUUUCUUCCAGAUGUGUCUCUGGGAGCCAUGUACCUAUCCCAGACGUUCUCAAAAUAAAUUGCUCCUUACAAAAUGGAAAUGAACUUA